rnacentral:rRNA from 1 species
CCUACGGGAGGCAGCAGUAAGGAAUAUUGGUCAAUGGACGCAAGUCUGAACCAGCCAUGCCGCGUGAAGGAUGAAGGCCCUCUGGGUUGUAAACUUCUUUUAUCUGGGACGAAAAAAGGGCAUUCUUGCUCACUUGACGGUACCAGAGGAAUAAGCACCGGCUAACUCCGUGCCAGCAGCCGCGGUAAUACGGAGGGUGCAAGCGUUAUCCGGAUUUACUGGGUUUAAUGGGUGCGUAGGUGGGUUGGUAAGUCAGUGGUGAAAUCUCCGAGCUUAACUCGGAAACUGCCAUUGAUACUAUCAAUCUUGAAUACUUUGGAGGUAAGCGGAAUAUGUCAUGUAGCGGUGAAAUGCUUAGAUAUGACAUAGAACACCAAUUGCGAAGGCAGCUUACUACACAGUCAUUGACACUGAGGCACGAAAGCGUGGGGAUCAAACAGGAUUAGAUACCCUGGUAGUCCACGCCCUAAACGAUGGAUACUCGACAUCAGCGAUACACUGUUGGUGUCUGAGNGAAGANAUAUAUCCACCGCGGAGAGAGCGCGAGAGUAGUAAAGUAAAGUAAGUUAGAGGACGUGAGAGNGCGAGGACGACGACGAGGGGAGGAGG